rnacentral:rRNA from 1 species
AGAGUUUGAUCAUGGCUCAGGACGAACGCUGGCGGCGCGCCUAACACAUGCAAGUCGAACGAGCGAGAGAGAGCUUGCUUUCUCGAGCGAGUGGCGAACGGGUGAGUAACGCGUGAGGAACCUGCCUCAAAGAGGGGGACAACAGUUGGAAACGACUGCUAAUACCGCAUAAGCCCACGGUGCCGCAUGGCACAGAGGGAAAAGGAGCAAUCCGCUUUGAGAUGGCCUCGCGUCCGAUUAGCUAGUUGGUGAGGUAAUGGCCCACAAGGCGACGAUCGGUAGCCGGACUGAGAGGUUGAACGGCCACAUUGGGACUGAGACACGGCCCAGACUCCUACGGGAANCA